CUGGCUGCUGGCCCUGUGCUGGGGCUCCGGAGGGGAGCUUCCUGGCUCAUGAGGACCCAGGGCCCAUCUCUGUUCCUGGUCCUGGCCAGCUUGGUGGUGCUCAUCUCCUGGCUGUGCACUGGCUCCUCAUGGAGGAGUUGGUGGCUCAACCCAUGGCCUGGUGGUUCCUAAUACCCAUCCUCAAUGUUAUCCUUGUCCAGUGGCUCAGCCUUGCAGUUGUCCCCUGCACACCAGCCGUUGGGUCCAGGAGGGUCCGGCAAAGCCAGGGACAGAGAGAGCUGCCCGUCCUGAUUGGUAAGAUGCACGUGCUACAGUAGCUGCUCUGCCUUAUGCCUGGAUCUUGCCUUCAUUUGGGCAGGUGUCUAAGAUGCCAGAGGGCCCAGAGCUGCACCUGGCGAGCUGCUACAUCAACACGGUAUGUGCAGGGCUCAUCUUCUCAGGGAAGGUGGAGAAGUCUGAAGUGAGCAAGAACUCAGAAGUGCUGUUUGAGAGUGACACGUACCUGAUCUCUGCCACCUCGCGGGGCAAGGAGAUCAAGCUGACCCUGACACCACUCAAAGAGAAGAAGAACACACUCCCAGGCAGAGGGAGAGACAGGGAGGGGCUGAGCCAGAACGGUCUCCAGCAGCCCAUGGAUCUUGUCUUCCGCUUUGGAAUGUCAGGCAGCUUCAAGCUCACCUCCGUGGCCGAGCUGCCCAAACACGCCCACCUGCGGUUUUACACCAAGGAGAGCCCGCACCGAGCCCUCUGCUUUGUGGAUAUCAGGCGCUUCGGGAGGUGGGAAGUGCAUGGGACGUGGCAGCCAGAUCGAGGGCCAUGUGUGAUGCUGGAGUAUGAGAAAUUCAGGCCUCACCUGGCUCUACAUGUUGGUGUUCCCUUUGAUGUGCAGAUCUUAGAGCCAGCCCUUCAUAAAGCCACUCUUCAAAGGCUCCUUCUUGUUCUUUGUAUUUGUCAGUUUCAGAGGACUCAGACUGCCUUGGAUGCCUUAAUGGGGAUGUCUCUUACUGUUCCUCCAGCCUUCUUUACGCUGUGGGAGAACGUGCUGAGGAACCUGUCUGACAAGGCUUUCAACAAGCCCAUCUGUGAAGCCCUGUUAAAUCAGAAGUUUUUCAAUGGGAUUGGCAACUACCUCCGAGCCGAGAUUCUCUACAGGUUAAAGAUCCCUCCCUUUGAGAAGGCUCGGACGGUGUUAGAGGCUCUUCAGCAUCGGAAGCCGCAGAGUCCGGACCUGACCUUGAGCAAGAAAGUGAAGUUAAAGCGGGAGAAUCCAGACCUGCUGGAGCUCUGCCAUGCGGUGCCCAUGGAGGUCAUUCACAUGGGGGGGAAGGGUUACGGUCCAGAGCCCUCUGACGAUGCCGCAGCCUUUGAGGAGUGGCUGCAGUGUUACUGUGUCCCUGGCAUGAGGUCGUUGCGCGAUGGCAAUGGCAGGACCAUCUGGUUUCAGGGGGAGCCUGGACCUAUGACCCCGAAAGGAGAAAAGUCUCGCAAGAGGCGCUCACGGGUGAAUGCUGACCCUGAGCCUCCAAGUCCAAAGGUUACAAAGCCGGUGCCUAAGAGAAGUUCGAAGGGCAGCAGCAGCCAGGAGAAGGUAGCAAAGCAAUCUGGCAGGAAGAAGGGGAAAGAGCUCGUCCAAGGAGCCGAGAAUGCCAAGGCACAUGAAGCAAGAAAGCCAGACACCGGUUCCAGAAGAAAAGCAUCAGCAAGUCAAGCGUCUCCCACAAACGAAGCUCCUGCUGCAGAUAGGAAGAGGCAGGCAUCUGCUCGGAGAAGCACAGGUUAGAAUGCUGCACUGGCUCCAACAUAAGCCUGGGACAGGGAUAGGCCUGGAUGGCUUAUGCUGGUCAAGGUCAAUCUGGCUUUUUUUCAGAAGUGGAAUAAAAGAGCUUGUGUUCUGCAGGGAAAGGGAAGCUGCAUCCACCACCCACGCACUGUAGGCCGGGCACUGGAGUUAGAAAUUCUGAAGCUAAUUCUCUGUGCACGUGUUGUGUGACCAGAUCACUGACCAUAGGCAUGGAGCAACUACUGCUGCCCCAAGAUCCAGGCGGGUGAAGGCUGAAUGACUGGUCUGGCACGGCAUCUGUCCUCACCCCAGCCUGGAGUAACUCAGAUGGGAGCUCACUUGCUACUGCUGCACGUGCUGAGGGAGAUGCGGUGAGAGCAGCUGCUGGAGUGACUCUUCUCUCAAGUGGGCUUGCCCACUGCAUUGUUUCUUAGAUCCCUCCUCAGAGGGGGCUUGCUGCAGGGGCUGUAAGCAGCUGACGCAAGAGUCCUGCCCCAUGAAAUGAAGAAGGUGAUGCUGUGGCGUCAGCCUCCCUGCUCGGUUACGGGGUUUUAUUCCUUUUUAAAUGCGGCUCCAGGACACAGCAAUUGGGUGACUUUGUAUCAAACCCCUUGAAAGCUGCUGGGGCACCCGCUGGUGACUGCAGCUGAAAACUGGCGACUCUUGGCAGAGAGAGGGAAAUUCAACCUCAGAUUUCCCCUACUCGGUGCAACAGUUUCCUGAGGGUCAGGUUGCUCUUUCAGAAAUUCACCUCUGCAGAGGGGACGUGCUGACACUUAGCUGUUGUGUGGAAUGAGUCCAUCAGUGAGUCACUCCUGAGCUGGGCUGCCCAGAAACCAGUGCCCUCAGGUUACAGGCUCAGCAACUGUGCCAACCUGCUCCCCCUCCUCCUAGUGUGGUUCUCUGACCCAACUGCCAGUGCUUUUAGCAAUCUGAUUUUAGUACUAACAAUAAAACGUUUCCAUAAACAAU